rnacentral:rRNA from 1 species
GACGAACCGUGCGAACGUUGUUCGGAAUCACUGGGCUUAAAGGGCGCGUAGGCGGCUUACCAAGUCAGGGGUGAAAUCUUUCGGCUCAACCGGAAAAGUGCCUUUGAUACUGAUAGGCUCGAGGGAGGUAGGGGUAUGUGGAACUUCCGGUGGAGCGGUGAAAUGCGUUGAUAUCGGAAGGAACGCCGGUGGCGAAAGCGACGUACUGGACCUCUUCUGACGCUGAGGCGCGAAAGCUAGGGGAGCAAACGGG